rnacentral:rRNA from 1 species
AUUGAACGCUGGCGGCAUGCCUUACACAUGCAAGUCGAACGGUAACAGGUCUUCGGAUGCUGACGAGUGGCGAACGGGUGAGUAAUACAUCGGAACGUGCCUAGUAGUGGGGGAUAACUACUCGAAAGAGUGGCUAAUACCGCAUGAGAUCUACGGAUGAAAGCAGGGGAUCGCAAGGCCUUGUGCUACUAGAGCGGCCGAUGGCAGAUUAGGUAGUUGGUGGGAUAAAAGCUUACCAAGCCGACGAUCUGUAGCUGGUCUGAGAGGACGAUCGGCCACACUGGGACUGAGACACGGCCCAGACUCCUACGGGAGGCAGCAGUGGGGGAUUUUGGACAAUGGGCGCAAGCCUGAUCCAGCAAUGCCGCGUGCAGGAUGAAGGCCUUCGGGUUGUAAACUGCUUUUGUACGGAACGAAAAGCCCUGGGUUAAUACCCUGGGGUCAUGACGGUAGCGUAAGAAUAAGCACCGGCUAACUACGUGCCAGCCGCCGCGGUAAAAC